CAGCCGCCGCGGGAAUACAGAGGGUGCGAGCGUUAAUCGGAUUUACUGGGCGUAAAGCGUGCGUAGGCGGCUUUUUAAGUCGGAUGUGAAAUCCCUGAGCUUAACUUAGGAAUUGCAUUCGAUACUGGGAAGCUAGAGUAUGGGAGAGGAUGGUAGAAUUCCAGGUGUAGCGGUGAAAUGCGUAGAGAUCUGGAGGAAUACCGAUGGCGAAGGCAGCCAUCUGGCCUAAUACUGACGCUGAGGUACGAAAGCAUGGGGAGCAAACUGGAUUAGAUACCCCGGUAGUCCCUGUCUCUUAUAC
rnacentral:rRNA from 1 species